AGCGCAUACGGUGGAUGCCUUGGCAGUCAGAGGCGAUGAAAGACGUGGUAGCCUGCGAAAAGCUUCGGGGAGUCGGCAAACAGACUGUGAUCCGGAGAUGUCUGAAUGGGGGAACCCAGCCAUCAUAAGAUGGUUAUCUUGUACUGAAUACAUAGGUGCAAGAGGCGAACCAGGGGAACUGAAACAUCUAAGUACCCUGAGGAAAAGAAAUCAACCGAGAUUCCCUUAGUAGUGGCGAGCGAACGGGGACCAGCCCUUAAGUUGUAUUGAGAUUAGCGGAACGUUCUGGAAAGGACGGCCAUAGUGGGUGAUAGCCCUGUACGCGAAAAUCCCUUUGCAAUGAAAUCGAGUAGGACGGGGCACGAGAAACCUUGUCUGAAUAUGGGGGGACCAUCCUCCAAGGCUAAAUACUACUGACUGACCGAUAGUGAACCAGUACCGUGAGGGAAAGGCGAAAAGAACCGCGGAGAGCGGAGUGAAAUAGAUCCUGAAACCGUAUGCGUACAAGCAGUGGGAGCCCACUUUGUUGGGUGACUGCGUACCUUUUGUAUAAUGGGUCAGCGACUUAUUUUCAGUGGCGAGCUUAACCGAAUAGGGGAGGCGUAGCGAAAGCGAGUCUUAAUAGGGCGUCUAGUCGCUGGGAAUAGACCCGAAACCGGGCGAUCUAUCCAUGGGCAGGUUGAAGGUUGGGUAACACUAACUGGAGGACCGAACCGACUACCGUUGAAAAGUUAGCGGAUGACCUGUGGAUCGGAGUGAAAGGCUAAUCAAGCUCGGAGAUAGCUGGUUCUCCUCGAAAGCUAUUUAGGUAGCGCCUCAUGUAUCACUGUAGGGGGUAGAGCACUGUUUCGGCUAGGGGGUCAUCCCGACUUACCAAACCGAUGCAAACUCCGAAUACCUACAAGUGCCGAGCAUGGGAGACACACGGCGGGUGCUAACGUCCGUCGUGAAAAGGGAAACAACCCAGACCGUCAGCUAAGGUCCCAAAGUCAUGGUUAAGUGGGAAACGAUGUGGGAAGGCUUAGACAGCUAGGAGGUUGGCUUAGAAGCAGCCACCCUUUAAAGAAAGCGUAAUAGCUCACUAGUCGAGUCGGCCUGCGCGGAAGAUGUAACGGGGCUCAAACCAUGCACCGAAGCUACGGGUAUCAUCUUUUGAUGAUGCGGUAGAGGAGCGUUCUGUAAGCCUGUGAAGGUGAGUUGAGAAGCUUGCUGGAGGUAUCAGAAGUGCGAAUGCUGACAUGAGUAACGACAAUGGGUGUGAAAAACACCCACGCCGAAAGACCAAGGUUUCCUGCGCAACGUUAAUCGACGCAGGGUUAGUCGGUCCCUAAGGCGAGGCUGAAAAGCGUAGUCGAUGGAAAACAGGUUAAUAUUCCUGUACUUCUGGUUAUUGCGAUGGAGGGACGGAGAAGGCUAGGCCAGCCUGGCGUUGGUAGUCCAGGUUUAAGGUGGUAGGCUGAGAUCUUAGGUAAAUCCGGGAUCUUAAGGCCGAGAGCUGAUGACGAGUGUUCUUUUAGAACACGAAGUGGUUGAUGCCAUGCUUCCAAGAAAAGCUUCUAAGCUUCAGGUAACCAGGAACCGUACCCCAAACCGACACAGGUGGUUGGGUAGAGAAUACCAAGGCGCUUGAGAGAACUCGGGUGAAGGAACUAGGCAAAAUGGCACCGUAACUUCGGGAGAAGGUGCGCCGGUGAGGGUGAAGCAUUUACUGCGUAAGCCCAUGCCGGUCGAAGAUACCAGGCCGCUGCGACUGUUUAUUAAAAACACAGCACUCUGCAAACACGAAAGUGGACGUAUAGGGUGUGACGCCUGCCCGGUGCCGGAAGGUUAAUUGAUGGGGUUAGCGCAAGCGAAGCUCUUGAUCGAAGCCCCGGUAAACGGCGGCCGUAACUAUAACGGUCCUAAGGUAGCGAAAUUCCUUGUCGGGUAAGUUCCGACCUGCACGAAUGGCGUAACGAUGGCGGCGCUGUCUCCACCCGAGACUCAGUGAAAUUGAAAUCGCUGUGAAGAUGCAGUGUAUCCGCGGCUAGACGGAAAGACCCCGUGAACCUUUACUAUAGCUUUGCACUGGACUUUGAAUUUGCUUGUGUAGGAUAGGUGGGAGGCUUUGAAGCGUGGACGCCAGUCUGCGUGGAGCCAACCUUGAAAUACCACCCUGGCAACUUUGAGGUUCUAACUCAGGUCCGUUAUCCGGAUCGAGGACAGUGUAUGGUGGGUAGUUUGACUGGGGCGGUCUCCUCCUAAAGAGUAACGGAGGAGUACGAAGGUGCGCUCAGACCGGUCGGAAAUCGGUCGUAGAGUAUAAAGGCAAAAGCGCGCUUGACUGCGAGACAGACACGUCGAGCAGGUACGAAAGUAGGUCUUAGUGAUCCGGUGGUUCUGUAUGGAAGGGCCAUCGCUCAACGGAUAAAAGGUACUCCGGGGAUAACAGGCUGAUACCGCCCAAGAGUUCAUAUCGACGGCGGUGUUUGGCACCUCGAUGUCGGCUCAUCACAUCCUGGGGCUGAAGCCGGUCCCAAGGGUAUGGCUGUUCGCCAUUUAAAGUGGUACGCGAGCUGGGUUUAGAACGUCGUGAGACAGUUCGGUCCCUAUCUGCCGUGGACGUUUGAGAUUUGAGAGGGGCUGCUCCUAGUACGAGAGGACCGGAGUGGACGAACCUCUGGUGUUCCGGUUGUCACGCCAGUGGCAUUGCCGGGUAGCUAUGUUCGGAAAAGAUAACCGCUGAAAGCAUCUAAGCGGGAAACUUGCCUCAAGAUGAGAUCUCACUGGAACCUUGA
rnacentral:rRNA from 1 species